rnacentral:rRNA from 1 species
GAUAAACGCUGGCGGCGUGCUUAACACAUGCAAGUCGAACGAAGUUUUUCUUUCGGGAGGAACUUAGUGGCGGACGGGUGCGUAACGCGUGGGUAACCUGCCCUGUACAGGGGGACAACAGCUGGAAACGGCUGCUAAUACCGCAUAAGCCCUUAGCACUGCAUGGUGCAUAGGGAAAAGGAGCAAUCCGGUACAGGAUGGACCCGCGUCUGAUUAGCCAGUUGGCAGGGUAACGGCCUACCAAAGCGACGAUCAGUAGCCGAUCUGAGAGGAUGUACGGCCACAUUGGGACUGAGACACGGCCCAGACUCCUACGGGAGGGAGCAGUGGGGAAUAUUGCACAAUGGAGGAAACUCUGAUGCAGCGACGCCGGGUGAGUGAAGAAGUAUGUCGGUAUGUAAAGCUCUAUCAGCAGGAAAGAAAAUGACGGUACCUGACUAAGAAGCACCGGCUAAAUACGUG